AUAAAUAUAGACCUUAGUAAAUCUUGUCAAGGUUUUCAUGGACUCUCUUCAAUUACUACCGAUGAAGCAAUGAGCAGUUUAACAGAGAGCGCUCACUCCGACAGUAGUGCUGCCUCUAUAUUUCACGCACGAUCCCUAU
rnacentral:misc_RNA from 1 species